rnacentral:misc_RNA from 1 species
AGCAGCCGCGGUAAUUCCAGCUCCAAUAGCGUAUAUUAAAGUUGUUGCAGUUAAAAGCUCGUAGUUGAAUUUCGGGAUCAGUUGGUCGGUCGUGCCUCGGUACGUACUGGUCAAAUUGAUUCCUACCUUCUGACGAACCACGAUGUCAUUAAUUUGGUGUCGCGGGAAAUCAGGACUGUUACUUUGAAAAAUUAGAGUGUUUAAAGCAGGCUCGCGCUUGAAUACAUUAGCAUGGAAUAAUGAAAUAGGACGUUUGAUUCUAUUUUGUUGGUUUCUAGGAUCGACGUAAUGAUUAAUAGGGAUAGUUGGGGGCAUUAGUAUUCAAUUGUCAGAGGUGAAAUUCUUGGAUUUAUUGAAGACUAACUACUGCGAAAGCAUUUGCCAAGGAUGUUUUCAUUAAUCAAGAACGAAAGUUAGGGAUCGAAGACGAUCAGAUACCGUCGUAGUCUUAACCAUAAACUAUGCCGACUAGGGAUCGGAUGAUGUUAAUUUUUAAUGUACUCAUUCGGCGCCUUACGGG